rnacentral:rRNA from 1 species
UUGAUCUCAAAUCAGGCAGGACUACCCGCUGAACUUAAGCAUAUCAAUAAGCGGAGGAAAAGAAACUAACAAGGAUUCCCCUAGUAACUGCGAGUGAAGCGGGAAAAGCUCAAAUUUAAAAUCUGACAGCUGUUCUGGCUGUCCGAGUUGUAAUCUAGAGAAGUGUUACCCGCGCUGGACCGUGUACAAGUCUCCUGGAAUGGAGCAUCAUAGAGGGUGAGAAUCCCGUCUUUGACAUGGACUACCAGGGCUUUGUGGUGCGCUCUCGAAGAGUCGAGUUGUUUGGGAAUGCAGCUCAAAAUGGGUGGUAAAUGCCAUCUAAAGCUAAAUAUUGGCGAGAGACCGAUAGCGAACAAGUACCGUGAGGGAAAGAUGAAAAGAACUUUGGAAAGAGAGUUAAACAGUACGUGAAAUUGCUGAAAGGGAAACGCUUGAAGUCAGUCGCAUCGACUGGAAAUCAACCUUGCUUUUGCUUGGUGUAUUUUCUGGCUUGAUGGGUCAGCAUCAAUUUUGAUCGCUGGAUAAAGGCUUGGGGAAUGUGGCAUCUUAGGAUGUGUUAUAGCCCUUGGUUGCAUACAGCGGUUGGGAUUGAGGAACUCAGCACGCCGCGAGGCCGGGUUUCGACCACGUUUACGUGCUUAGGAUGCUGGCAUAAUGGCUUUAAUCGACCCGUCUUGAAACACGGACCAAGGAGUCUAACAUGCCUGCGAGUGUUUGGGUGGAAAACCCAUGCGCGCAAUGAAAGUGAAAAGUUGAGAUCCCUGUCGUGGGGAGCAUCGACGCCCAGACCAGACCUUUUGCGACGGAUCUGCGGUAGAGCAUGUAUGUUGGGACCCGAAAGAUGGUGAACUAUGCCUGAAUAGGGUGAAGCCAGAGGAAACUCUGGUGGAGGCUCGUAGCGAUUCUGACGUGCAAAUCGAUCGUCAAAUUUGGGUAUAGGGGCGAAAGACUAAUCGAACCAUYUAGUAGCUGGUUCCUGCCGAAGUUUCCCUCAGGAUAGCAGAAACUCAUAUCAGAUUUAUGUGGUAAAGCGAAUGAUUAGAGGCCUUGGGGUUGAAACAACCUUAACCUAUUCUCAAACUUUAAAUAUGUAAGAACAAGCCGUCUCUUGACUGGACCGCUUGGCGAUUGAGAGUUUCUAGUGGGCCAUUUUUGGUAAGCAGAACUGGCGAUGCGGGAUGAACCGAACGCGAGGUUAAGGUGCCGGAAUUCACGCUCAUCAGACACCACAAAAGGUGUUAGUUCAUCUAGACAGCAGGACGGUGGCCAUGGAAGUCGGAAUCCGCUAAGGAGUGUGUAACAACUCACCUGCCGAAUGAACUAGCCCUGAAAAUGGAUGGCGCUUAAGCGUGAUACCCAUACCUCGCCGUCAGCGUUGAAGUGACGCGCUGACGAGUAGGCAGGCGUGGAGGUCAGUGAAGAAGCCUAGGCAGUGAUGCUGGGUGAAACGGCCUCUAGUGC